GAUGAACGCUGGCGGCGUGCCUAAUACAUGCAAGUCGAGCGAAAAGACGAGGAGCUUGCUCCUCUGACGUUAGCGACGGACGGGUGAGUAACACGUGGAUAACCUACCUAUAAGACUGGGAUAACGUCGGGAAACCGGAGCUAAUACCGGAUAAUAUAUUGAACCGCAUGGUUGAAUAGUGAAAGACGGUUUUGCUGUCACUUAUAGAUGGAUGCGCGCCGCAUUAGCUAGUUGGUAAGGUAACGGCUUACCAAGGCAACGAUGCGUGGCCGACCUGAGAGGGUGAUCGCCCACACUGGAACUGAGACACGGUCCAGACUCCUACGGGAGGCAGCAGUAGGGAAUCGUGCGCAAUGGGCGAAAGCCUGACGGAGCAACGCAGCGUGAGUGAUGAAGGUCUGCGGAUCGUAAAACUCUGUUAUGAGGGAAGAACAAAUGUGUAAGUAACGAUGCACGUCGUGACGGUACCUAAUCAGAAAGCCACGGCUAACUACGUG
rnacentral:rRNA from 1 species